GACGAACGCUGGCGGCGUGCCUAAUACAUGCAAGUAGAACGCUGAAGGAGGAGCUUGCUUCUCUGGAUGAGUUGCGAACGGGUGAGUAACGCGUAGGUAACCUGCCUGGUAGCGGGGGAUAACUAUUGGAAACGAUAGCUAAUACCGCAUAAGAGUAGAUGUUGCAUGACAUUUGCUUAAAAGGUGCAAUUGCAUCACUACCAGAUGGUCCUGCGUUGUAUUAGCUAGUUGGUGGGGUAACGGCUUACCAAGGCGACGAUACAUAGCCGACCUGAGAGGGUGAUCGGCCAACCUGGGAAUGAGAAACGGCCCAGACUCCUACGGGAGGCAGCAGUAGGGAAUCUUCGGCAAUGGACGGAAGUCUGACCGAGCAACGCCGCGUGAGUGAAGAAGGUUUUCGGAUCGUAAAGCUCUGUUGUAAGAGAAGAACGAGUGUGAGAGUGGAAAGUUCACACUGUGACGGUAUCUUACCAGAAAGGGACGGCUAACUACGUG
rnacentral:rRNA from 1 species